AGUGAACGCUGGCGGUAGGCCUAACACAUGCAAGUCGAACGGCAGCACAGUAAGAGCUUGCUCUUACGGGUGGCGAGUGGCGGACGGGUGAGGAAUACAUCGGAAUCUACUUUUUCGUGGGGGAUAACGUAGGGAAACUUACGCUAAUACCGCAUACGACCUACGGGUGAAAGCAGGGGAUCUUGGGACCUUGCGCGAUUGAAUGAGCCGAUGUCGGAUUAGCUAGUUGGCGGGGUAAAGGCCCACCAAGGCGACGAUCCGUAGCUGGUCUGAGAGGAUGAUCAGCCACACUGGAACUGAGACACGGUCCAGACUCCUACGGGAGGCAGCAGUGGGGAAUAUUGGACAAUGGGCGCAAGCCUGAUCCAGCCAUACCGCGUGGGUGAAGAAGGCCUUCGGGUUGUAAAGCCCUUUUGUUGGGAAAGAAAAGCAGCAGGUUAAUACCCCGCUGUUCUGACGGUACCCAAAGAAUAAGCACCGGCUAACUUCGUG
rnacentral:rRNA from 1 species